rnacentral:rRNA from 1 species
AAUAGAUACCCAGGUAGUCCACGCCGUAAACGAUGAGUGCUAAGUGUUAGAGGGUUUCCGCCCUUUAGUGCUGCAGCUAACGCAUUAAGCACUCCGCCUGGGGAGUACGACCGCAAGGUUGAAACUCAAAGGAAUUGACGGGGGCCCGCACAAGCGGUGGAGCAUGUGGUUUAAUUCGAAGCAACGCGAAGAACCUUACCAGGUCUUGACAUCCUCUGACCUCCCUGGAGACAGGGACUUCCCCUUCGGGGGACAGAGUGACAGGUGGUGCAUGGUUGUCGUCAGCUCGUGUCGUGAGAUGUUGGGUUAAGUCCCGCAACGAGCGCAACCCUUGACCUUAGUUGCCAGCAUUCAGUUGGGCACUCUAAGGUGACUGCCGGUGACAAACCGGAGGAAGGUGGGGAUGACGUCAAAUCAUCAUGCCCCUUAUGACCUGGGCUACACACGUGCUACAAUGGAUGGUACAAAGGGCAGCGAGACCGCGAGGUUAAGCCAAUCCCAUAAAACCAUUCUCAGUUCGGAUUGCAGGCUGCC